ACACAUAUAUGAGUCUUACUGCUGUCAUGUUAACAGAUUAUAUGAACAAGAAGCCGGGUUGCCAGGUUCAGUUUAGCCUGUAACAUUUCUGAUCUAAUUUGUGAAGUCAGAAUAAAACCACAGAAGCUAAAGAUACGCUAAAGUACUUCAUUACUACUUCAUUUUCUGUGUUUUAAUGUAUUUCAUACCUUUUAUGACACCAGGAAGAUGGUUGAGGUACAUUUCAUAGGAUUUGACUGGGUAACAUUAGAAGUCAGCAAAUACUAUGGAUGUUUUAUCUUUCGCUCUACGAUUCCCACUGUGACUGUUUAGAGGAAGAAAGACCGAGUGUGUGAUUAAUAUGCUGAGACGACCUCACUCCAGUCCUGGGGGGGGGGGGCUGCUGUAUUACCUAA